AAGGUAGGUGCCAAGGUUGAGAUUCGUCCUGGAGGAGCCUCACCGAGCGGGUGUCCGAAAGUGGAGCAUGGCCAAGAUGGCAGAGUAGAAGGUCGGACAUCUAGGGCACACAUGGAGACAGGCUCUGAAGCGGGUGAACUCUGGACACAAACCAUGGGCUGGCCAGGCACCCAGAUGACACCAAAGACUUUUCCAAGCAAGCCUCCAUGGACAUCACCCUGGGGGAGCCUCUGAUCAAAGAGAUUAUUAAUGCUUCCAAGGCUACCUGGUCUAAUGAAGACUGGAUCGACACACAAGAAGAGCGAGAAAAGAAAAUGAUGCAGGUUGCCCCACCCUGGCCCAGGAUAUCAGAGAACAGGAAGGCCUUCAUGAAUGCCCGGAACUUACUGAAGCUCAAAGAGAAGGCCCUGUUUAACCAGGGGAUGGGCCAUGGCUGCUGUCAGCUCUCUCAUAGACCUGUCAUAUACCUGUUGUUGUGCCCAAAUUCUGGAAUCCCUAAAGAUCACCAAGAGACCAAAUCUGCUUGGCUAUGUUGUUCUACUUUUAUUUGUGUGUG